GGGUGUUGGAAAGAUUUAUCGGUUUUGGAUGGACUCGCGGCCUAUCAGCUUGUUGGUGAGGUAAUGGCUCACCAAGGCGACGACGGGUAGCCGGCCUGAGAGGGUGACCGGCCACACUGGGACUGAGACACGGCCCAGACUCCUACGGGAGGCAGCAGUGGGGAAUAUUGCACAAUGGGCGCAAGCCUGAUGCAGCGACGCCGCGUGAGGGAUGACGGCCUUCGGGUUGUAAACCUCUUUCAGUAGGGAAGAAGCGAAAGUGACGGUACCUGCAGAAGAAGCACCGGCUAACUACGUGCCAGCAGCCGCGGUAAUACGUAGGGUGCGAGCGUUAUCCGGAAUUAUUGGGCGUAAAGAGCUCGUAGGCGGUUUGUCGCGUCUGUCGUGAAAGUCCGGGGCUUAACCCCGGAUCUGCGGUGGGUACGGGCAGACUAGAGUGCAGUAGGGGAGACUGGAAUUCCCUGGUGUAGCGGUGGAAUGCGCAGAUAUCAGGGAGGAACACCGAUGGCGAAGGCAGGUCUCUGGG
rnacentral:rRNA from 1 species